GUCUACGGCCAUACCACCCUGAACGCACCCGAUCUCGUCUGAUCUCGGAAGCUAAGCAGGGUCGGGCCUGGUUAGUACUUCGAUGGGAGACCGCCUGGGAAUACUGGGUGCUGUAGGCU
rnacentral:rRNA from 3 species